GAAAAUUGGAAACAAUAGAAAUUGGACUCGGGGGUGAAACAAAUCUGAUUUGUAUUGUUUGGUGUUAGUGAAUAGAGAUAAUUGUUUCAGAUCUAUCGGUCGAUAGAAUAUCUUAGCAGAGGAGACGGAAGAAAAUGGCUGGAAGCCCAGAUCACUUGUUCAAUUUGAGGAACAAUGUCUAUUUGGGUUCGUACCAGGCUGCCAUCAACAACAGCGAUCUGCCCAAUCUCUCCCCCGACGACGCCGUCGAGCGCGACUGUCUUGUUUAUCGCUCUUACAUCGCCUUCGGCAGCUACCAACUGGUGAUCAAUGAGAUCGAUUCCUCUGCUGCCACUCCUCUACAAGCCGUUAAAUUGCUCGCUCUCUAUCUCUCCAACCCUCAUGAUAAGGAAUCGACGAUUUCUAGCUUGAAGGAAUGGUUGGCAGAUCCAGCUAUUGGGAACAAUCCCAUCUUAAGGUUGAUUGCUGGAAUCAUUUUCACGCACGAAGAAGAUUAUAACGAGGCUCUUAAACACACCAAUGCUGGUGGCACCAUGGAACUGCAUGCACUGAAUGUGCAAAUAUUCAUUAAGAUGCAUCGGUCGGACUAUGCAGAGAGACAGCUGAGGGUCAUGCAGCAGAUUGAUGAGGAUCAUACACUGACACAACUAGCAAAUGCAUGGCUGAACCUGGCAGUGGGUGGUUCCAAGAUACAGGAAGCCUACCUGAUCUUCCAAGAUUUCUCUGAGAAAUAUCCUAUGACUGGACUAAUCCUCAAUGGGAAGGCUGUCUGCUGUAUGCAUAUGGGGAACUUUGAUGAAGCUGAAACACUUUUGCUUGAAGCACUUAAUAAGGAUACAGGAUGCAAAGGAUCCUGAAACUCUCGCCAACUUGGUUGUAUGCAGUCUUCACCUUGGUAAAUCAUCUUCACGUUACCUAAGCCAAUUGAAACUCACACAUCCAGAGCACAUUCUUGUGAAGCGUGCAUCAUCAGCAGAAGACAGCUUUGAAAGAGCAGUGCAAUCAGUUGCUUGAAGAUGUGGAGUCUGUUGCGUGGACGCAGUUAUACUUAUGAUUGUCUUCUGGGUUUUGUAACUUACCAGAAUGAUUACAUACAUAGAUAUGAUCCCUCUGUUGAAGAAAGGUUUAGACUAGAUUGGUAUUGUUUGGUUUAUUAUUGGUUGGCUGGAUAAGGCAAAAAAGUACAUGCUAAAUAAAUGUUUCUAUUUCCUUUCCUCCGUUUACUGUUAUUAUUAUUUUAUAUUAAGUAAUAGGACAAUUAUUUAGUAUACUUGGGAUUGAGAA